UGGGGAAUAUUGCGCAAUGGGCGAAAGCCUGACGCAGCGACGCCGCGUGUGGGAUGAAGGUCUUCGGAUUGUAAACCACUGUCGGGAGGGACGAAGCUCUGACGGUACCUCCAAAGGAAGCACCGGCUAACUCUGUGCCAGCAGCCGCGGUAAUACAGAGGGUGCAAGCGUUGUCCGGAAUCACUGGGCGUAAAGGGCGCGUAGGCGGCCUGGUAAGUAGGGGGUGAAAUUCUGCGGCUCAACCGCAGGACUGCCUCCUAAACUGCCGGGCUUGAGCACGGUAGAGGCUGGUGGAAUUCCCGGUGUAGCGGUGGAAUGCGUAGAGAUCGGGAAGAACAUCGGUGGCGAAGGCGGCCAGCUGGGCCGUUGCUGACGCUGAGGCGCGACAGCGUGGGGAGCA
rnacentral:rRNA from 1 species